GUAAGCUACUAAGAGCGAAUGGUGGAUGCCUUGACUGGUAAAGGCGAUGAAGGACGUACUAGACUGCGAUAAGCUACGGGGAGCUGUCAAGAAGCUUUGAUCCGUAGAUUUCCGAAUGGGGCAACCCAAUGUAUAGAGAUAUACAUUACCUAUAUAGGAGCGAACGAGGGGAAUUGAAACAUCUUAGUACCCUCAGGAAAAGAAAUCAAUAGAGAUUGCGUCAGUAGCGGCGAGCGAAAGCGCAAGAGGGCAAACCCAGUGCUUGCACUGGGGGUUGUAGGACUGCAAUGUGCAAGAGGUGAGUUUAGCAGAACAUUCUGGAAAGUAUAGCCAUAGAGGGUGAUAGUCCCGUAUGCGAAAAACAAACCUUAGCUAGCAGUAUCCUGAGUAGGGCGGGACACGAGAAAUCCUGUCUGAAGCUGGGUCGACCACGAUCCAACCCUAAAUACUAAUACCAGAUCGAUAGUGCACAAGUACCGUGAGGGAAAGGUGAAAAGAACUGAGGUGAUCAGAGUGAAAUAGAACCUGAAACCAUUUGCUUACAAUCAUUCAGAGCCCUAUGUAGCAAUACAGGGUGAUGGACUGCCUUUUGCAUAAUGAGCCUGCGAGUUGUGGUGUCUGGCAAGGUUAAGCAAACGCGAAGCCGUAGCGAAAGCGAGUCUGAAUAGGGCGCUUAGUCAGAUGCUGCAGACCCGAAACGAAGUGAUCUAUCCAUGAGCAAGUUGAAGCUAGUGUAAGAACUAGUGGAGGACUGAACCCAUAGGCGUUGAAAAGCCCCGGGAUGACUUGUGGAUAGGGGUGAAAGGCCAAUCAAACUUCGUGAUAGCUGGUUCUCUCCGAAAUAUAUUUAGGUAUAGCGUUGUGUCGUAAUAUAAGGGGGUAGAGCACUGAAUGGGCUAGGGCAUACACCAAUGUACCAAACCCUAUCAAACUCCGAAUACCUUAUAUGUAAUCACAGCAGUCAGGCGGCGAGUGAUAAAAUCCGUCGUCAAGAGGGAAACAACCCAGACUACCAGCUAAGGUCCCUAAAUCUUACUUAAGUGGAAAACGAUGUGAAGUUACUUAAACAACCAGGAGGUUGGCUUAGAAGCAGCCAUCCUUUAAAGAAAGCGUAAUAGCUCACUGGUCUAGUGAUUUUGCGCGGAAAAUAUAACGGGGCUAAAGUAAGUACCGAAGCUGUAGACUUGCGCACAACUUAGAUUAUUUAAGUUUAGAAUAUGAGAAACUAAGUUAUAUGUUUAGUUAUAUUUUUACUGAUUUUUAUAGAGUAAAGAUAGAAAUAAAACUUAGUAAAAUCAGUAAAAAUAUUCUUAGACUAAAGUUAAGUAGUUUAAGUUGUGUGCAAGUGGUAGGAGAGCGUUCUAUUUGCGUCGAAGGUAUACCGGUAAGGAGUGCUGGAGCGAAUAGAAGUGAGCAUGCAGGCAUGAGUAGCGAUAAUUAAUGUGAGAAUCAUUAACGCCGUAAACCCAAGGUUUCCUACGCGAUGCUCGUCAUCGUAGGGUUAGUCGGGUCCUAAGUCGAGUCCGAAAGGGGUAGACGAUGGCAAAUUGGUUAAUAUUCCAAUACCAACAUUAGUGUGCGAUGGAAGGACGCUUAGGGCUAAGGGGGCUAGCGGAUGGAAGUGCUAGUCUAAGGUCGUAGGAGGUUAUACAGGCAAAUCCGUAUAACAAUACUCCGAGAACUGAAAGGCUUUUUGAAGUCUUCGGAUGGAUAGAAGAACCCCUGAUGCCGUCGAGCCAAGAAAAGUUUCUAAGUUUAGCUAAUGUUGCCCGUACCGUAAACCGACACAGGUGGGUGGGAUGAGUAUUCUAAGGCGCGUGGAAGAACUCUCUUUAAGGAACUCUGCAAAAUAGCACCGUAUCUUCGGUAUAAGGUGUGGUUCGCUUCGUAUUAGGAUUUACUCCGAAAGCGAAGAAACUUACAACAAAGAGUCCCUCCCGACUGUUUACCAAAAACACAGCACUCUGCUAACUCGUAAGAGGAUGUAUAGGGUGUGACGCCUGCCCGGUGCUCGAAGGUUAAUUGAUGGGGUUAGCAUUAGCGAAGCUCUUGAUCGAAGCCCGAGUAAACGGCGGCCGUAACUAUAACGGUCCUAAGGUAGCGAAAUUCCUUGUCGGUUAAAUACCGACCUGCAUGAAUGGCGUAACGAGAUGGGAGCUGUCUCAAAGAGGGAUCCAGUGAAAUUGUAGUGGAGGUGAAAAUUCCUCCUACCCGCGGCAAGACGGAAAGACCCCGUGGACCUUUACUACAGCUUGACACUGCUAUUUGGAUAAGAAUGUGCAGGAUAGGUGGGAGGCUUUGAGUAUAUGACGCCAGUUGUAUAUGAGCCAUUGUUGAGAUACCACUCUUUCUUAUUUGGGUAGCUAACCAGCUUGAGUUAUCCUCAAGUGGGACAAUGUCUGGUGGGUAGUUUGACUGGGGCGGUCGCCUCCCAAAUAAUAACGGAGGCUUACAAAGGUUGGCUCAGAACGGUUGGAAAUCGUUCGUAGAGUAUAAAGGUAUAAGCCAGCUUAACUGCAAGACAUACAAGUCAAGCAGAGACGAAAGUCGGUCUUAGUGAUCCGGUGGUUCUGUGUGGAAGGGCCAUCGCUCAAAGGAUAAAAGGUACCCCGGGGAUAACAGGCUGAUCUCCCCCAAGAGCUCACAUCGACGGGGAGGUUUGGCACCUCGAUGUCGGCUCAUCGCAUCCUGGGGCUGGAGCAGGUCCCAAGGGUAUGGCUGUUCGCCAUUUAAAGCGGUACGCGAGCUGGGUUCAGAACGUCGUGAGACAGUUCGGUCCCUAUCUGCCGU
rnacentral:rRNA from 1 species